UACGGGGGGGGCAAGCGUUGUUCGGAAUUACUGGGCGUAAAGGGCUCGUAGGUGGCCAACUAAGUCAGACGUGAAAUCCCUCGGCUUAACCGGGGAACUGCGUCUGAUACUGGAUGGCUUGAGUCCGGAAGAGGAGAGUGGAAUUCCUGGAUGUAGCGGUGAAAUGCGCAGAUAUCAGGAAGAACACCAAUGGCGAAGGCAGCUCUCUGGGACGGUACUGACGCUGAAGACGCGAAAGCGUGGGGAGCGAACAGGG
rnacentral:rRNA from 1 species